UAAAUUGAAGCCAGUUGUUUAGGGUAUUUACCUGUUAACUAAAAUUUCGGGGGAUGAAAGCCCACCAAUCUAG
rnacentral:tRNA from 1 species